UGGGGAAUCAUGGUCAAUGGGCGAAAGCCUGAACCUGCGACGCCGCGUGAGUGAUGAAGGUCGUAAGAUCGUAAAACUCUUUUCAGGGAUCUUAAAGCCUGUCUGUCAACAACAGGCAGGUCUGACUCUCCCUGGAAGAAGCCCCAGCCAACUCCGUGCCAGCAGCUGCGGUAAUACGUAGGGGGCGAGCGUUAUUCGGAAUUACUGGGUGUAAAGGGUAUGUAGGCGGCCCUGCAAGGCGCGGGUGAAAGGAAAGGGCGCAACGCUGGGGGGGCACUUGAUACUGACGGGCUUGAGUGCUGGAGAGGUGAGCGGAGGGCCCGGUGUAGUGGUAAAAUACGUAGAGAUCGGGAGGAACACCAGCGGCGCAGGCGGCUCACUAGACAGUUUCUGACGCUAAGAUACGAAAGCGUGGGGAGCAAACA
rnacentral:rRNA from 1 species